rnacentral:misc_RNA from 1 species
GUGAUUUCAUUAUUAAGUUAGCAGGGGUGAUAUAGGGAGACUAAUUUGUUUUUGUGUAAAAUUUGAAAGCACAAAAAUAAGGGUAUUAGUAUUUUACCUUGUUACUUUUGACUUUUGAAGCAAUUAGGAUCGAGUUGGUACUGGUGGAAAUCUUUAGCAUCUUAGAAUCAAGAUAUUCAUUUUUAGCUUACAUUUUGUUUGAUGAGUGACCAUACAUUUUGUCAUGCCACCCUUAUGGGGCUGGUGGUCAUUUUUAUGUCUUGUAAUGACAUGAAGUGUAACAAACAAGUUUUUGGAUUAUUAGAAAACACGAUCUAUUUUCAGAACGUUGAUGGGG